rnacentral:rRNA from 1 species
AUUGAACGCUGGCGGCAUGCCUAACACAUGCAAGUCGAGCGGAGCGGCGGACGGGUGAGUCCUGCCUAGGAAUCUGCCUGGUAGUGGGGGAUCACGUCCGGAAACGGGCGCUAAUACCGCAUACUUUCCUCUGAUCCUAGGUCGGCUUAGCUAGUUGGUGGGGUACAGGCCUACCAAGGCGACGAUCCGUAACUGGUCUGAGAGGAUGAUCAGUCAAACUGGAACUGAGACACGGUCCAGACUCCUACGGGAGGCAGCAGUGGGGAAUAUUGGACAAUGGGCGAAAGCCUGAUCGAGCCAUGCCGCGUGAGUGAAGAAGGUCUUCGGAUUGUAAAGCACUGUAAGUUGGGAGGCGUUACCAACAGAAUAAGCACCGGCUAACUUCGUGCCAGCAGCCGCGGUAAUAC